GGAGCGCUUUACUAUUACAUAUUUCACAAGUCAAUCAUAACGUGGCGACAUAUGAAACUUAGGGUGGGGUAGGGAACGUAAGGAACGGGGAAAGGGAAGGGAAGAGUGUUGACGUGGCCUUUCAAGUGGUCACGUUUUAAAAGCAUGACUUUGUUGACUGACGCAAUCAAUUCUAUGUACAGCUUAUCAAAAGGAUCAGAAUUAAAAUUUCGUUGAUCCUAAUAUGUUUACGGCUUGUGCUGAGGUCGUAAAGUACUAAAUCCCCAUUGCCUUUAUUGUAUGAUCCGCGAGAUAACCUUAGCAGUUUGCAGCUUUAAGACGCGCCAGUUAAGAAAUAAAUCUGAUCGACUUGCAGCCGUGGCCUACAGAACUCCAACUCUCUAAGACAAGAACUGACAGCACCAGUAAGAACAGCCUUGAUUCAAGAUGAGACUUUUCUUCAUUAUCGCCCUGCUCGUUGUCUUCGUCGUCGAGACGACAUCUAACGCCUAUGAAAGAAGAAGAAGAAGGUAUUUGGCUUGCAUGUUGCAGAAUCAGCUAUCCUCCACAUGCGCUGACUGGCUCAGGGGUGUAGUAGAAGAAUUAAGACCCUCACCACGUCGGUGGUGCACUCUUGUCAGGGAUUCUCAGAAUGACUUUUACGAGAAUGGUUGCUCAGCAGAUGACUACACCAUCACGAAUAAUCUCGUGUGCUCUCCAGUAUCCAGACGAGCACGUUGUGUCCCACUUUGAUGACUACUAGAAGCAAAAUUUAAAGUUUCCACCAAUCUAAAGCCAAAAAAAAAAAUAAAGUUUAAAACUAAAUAAUUUUUUCGAAAUAUUUUUAAAAUGUAUUCAAAUCAUAUAAAAGGGGAGGGUGGACAUUUUUUUUAAAUUAAAUGUGCAGAAAUCGAUAUACUACAAUAAAAAGCAAAUUAAUAGUUUA